GCUGUGGCUGUAGUCCCAGCUACUCCAGAGGCUGAGGCAGGAGGAUCGCUGGAGACCAGGAGUUCCGGGUUGUAGUGUGGUAUGCCAGGUACCUGCACCUUUGCUAAGUUCAGCACCAGUUUGGUGACCUCCCAGGAGCAGGGGCCACCAAGUUGCCUAAGGAGAGAUGAACCAGCCCAGCUCAGAAACAGGGCUCACAAGUUCUGUGUCGAUCAGUCGUGGGAUCUUGCCUGUGAGCAGACACUGCACUUCAGCCUGGGCAACAUAGCCAGAUCCUAUCUCU
rnacentral:SRP_RNA from 1 species